GAUGAACGCUGGCGGCGUGCCUAAUACAUGCAAGUCGAGCGAACAGACGAGGAGCUUGCUCCUCUGACGUUAGCGGCGGACGGGUGAGUAACACGUGGAUAACCUACCUAUAAGACUGGGAUAACUUCGGGAAACCGGAGCUAAUACCGGAUAAUAUAUUGAACCGCAUGGUUCAAUAGUGAAAGACGGUUUUGCUGUCACUUAUAGAUGGAUCCGCGCCGCAUUAGCUAGUUGGUAAGGUAACGGCUUACCAAGGCAACGAUGCGUAUCCGACCUGAGAGGGUGAUCGGCCACACUGGAACUGAGACACGGUCCAGACUCCUACGGGAGGCAGCAGUAGGGAAUCUUCCGCAAUGGACGAAAGCCUGACGGAGCAACGCCGCGUGAGUGAUGAAGGUCUUCGGAUCGUAAAACUCUGUUAUUAGGGAAGAACAAAUGUGUAAGUAACUAUGCACGUCUUGACGGUACCUAAUCAGAAAGCCACGGCUAACUACGUG
rnacentral:rRNA from 1 species